GAUGAACGCUGGCGGCGUGCUUAACACAUGCAAGUCGAACGGUGAAGCAGAGCUUGCUCUGUGGAUCAGUGGCGAACGGGUGAGUAACACGUGAGCAAUCUGCCCCUGACUCUGGGAUAAGCGCUGGAAACGGCGUCUAAUACCGGAUAUGAGCUGCGGCCGCAUGGUCGGCAGUUGGAAAGAACUUCGGUCAGGGAUGAGCUCGCGGCCUAUCAGCUAGUUGGUGAGGUAAUGGCUCACCAAGGCGUCGACGGGUAGCCGGCCUGAGAGGGUGACCGGCCACACUGGGACUGAGACACGGCCCAGACUCCUACGGGAGGCAGCAGUGGGGAAUAUUGCACAAUGGGCGCAAGCCUGAUGCAGCAACGCCGCGUGAGGGACGACGGCCUUCGGGUUGUAAACCUCUUUUAGCAGGGAAGAAGCGAAAGUGACGGUACCUGCAGAAAAAGCACCGGCUAACUACGUGCCAGCAGCCGCAGUAACAC
rnacentral:rRNA from 1 species